UUAGGCGGAUUACCACUAGAAACUGCCGCCGCUAAAAAAGAAGCGCGAAUCAGAAACAAUUUUAUGUCGUCCCUCUCUCUCUCUCAAAGACUAUAACUUCACACCACCGGCGUCGAUUGAACCACCGCACAGCACCUAACCACUGACGACGCCAACCGGCGACGACAACCACAUCUAAAUCUUCAACCUAGGAUCCGGUGGAGGGCUUGUACAUGAAAUUGAAUCAAUGGAAAACUCAGCCAGCAUUUGCUUAAUCUUCUAGGUGGAGAGUAAAGACAUUGUUGGUUUCCCAGAAUAGGUUUUUCCUAGUAAAGUGAAUGAACUUCACGACAAGUACUUAUCCUAUGUCAAUGGCUGCUUUAUGCAUAAUGUAAUCUUUCACAAGGCACUUAAUGAAGCUUUUGAGGUUUUCUGCAACAAGCAAAUUGCAGGAAUCUCCAGUGCAGAAAUAUUUGCAAUAUUCUGUGACCGUAUCCUCAAAAAAGGUGCAGAAAUCCAGUUCAAACAAUCAAACUUGAAAAAUCAAAAUUCAUAAUCAAAUUCCAUUUUUAUUUUCCAUGAACUUUAUCAUUGUUCUUUGGAUCUUCCAUAAACUUGGGCAAGGUAUGCAAGAUAGUCAUUUUGGACAUCCAAUCCAAGGGUGUGAAAGAUCUCCAUUUUUUGUUAACUUGAUUCUUGACUCUUACAUAAUCUAAUUGGUCAUGUCCUGAAGUUAAAACCAAUUCUUUAUUAUAGGCUUAAGUCAGAAAGCUGGGGAAAAGUUACAUCCAUAGCAGUCCAAGUUGGGGUGUAGGGUCAAAAUUAUGUUUGAGUUCUUUCGCAACUUUUACUGAUACUGUCAUUUAUUCUCAGUUGUCAGGACAGCUUCUAUCAGCUUAUGGGUAUGGUGCUCCAGAGUUUGAAUCUGGUAUUUGUACUUACCAAAGUGAUGUUUACAGCUUUGGAGUUGUAAUGUUAGAACUUCUUACAAUGAUAUUGAUGCAUUGUCAAUGAUGGUUGAUCCUUCCCUAAAUGGAGCUUACCCUGCAUUGUGAAGAUGGGAUACAUAUGAUGCAUUGUGAAGAGAACAUUUAUUGUACAAACCAAGAAUUUACCAAAUUGAAAUUAAGAUGUAUUUGUGAUUCUAAUGUUUUGAAUGGAGAAUGGUUUUUUAGAUUUUA